UGGUACAGAGCUGUGUGCAAACCUAAUUAAGAAAAAUAAUUAUAUGGAAUGACCCUUUAAGUUUAACGAGUUUGGUAAUAUUUCUAUGAAAACUAAAACAUUGGGGUUAACCUUAUUUAUGGGCAGUGGUGUACAAAGGGGGGGAGAGGGGGCACACAAAGGUGUUGGGAGAGAAACAGAUGCACACAGGUGCUGGGGAGGACAAACAGGCACACAGAAGGGCUGGGGAGGACAAACAGGCACACAGAAGGGCUGGGGAGGACAAACAGGCACACAGAAGGGCUGGGAGGACAAACAGGCACAAAGAAGGGCUGGGGAGGACAAACAGGCACAAAGAAGGGCUGGGGAGGACAAACAGGCACAAAGAAGGGCUGGGGAGGACAAACAAGCACACAGAACUUAGGAUGGGUAUCAUGGAGUGUUUUUCUUACAUUUUAAAAGUUGGGGUAGAUCCGCCCCAGGUGCCAAAUGCUCA